UAGUGUUACAGUUCUUUUAGAAUUUGUCUAAUAAUUUCUGUAGUCUCAACUAGAAGACCUC
ensembl:snRNA U7 U7 small nuclear RNA